rnacentral:rRNA from 1 species
CAAUAGCGUAUAUUAAAGUUGUUGCAGUUAAAAAGCUCGUAGUUGAAUUUUUGCUUGCCGCCGAUGUCGGAACUUCCGUACGUUCGGCGGCGUGCAUCCUUGGGUGGAACCUGUGUGGCAUUAGGUUGUCGUGCAGGGGAUGCUCAUCGUUUACUGUGAAAAAAUUAGAGUGUUCAAAGCAGGCUUACGCCGUUGAAUAUAUUAGCAUGGAAUAAUAAGAUAGGACCUUGGUACUAUUUUGUCGGUUUGCGCACCGAGGUAAUGAUUAACAGGGACAGUUGGGGGUAUUCGUAUUCCAUUGUCAGAGGUGAAAUUCUUGGAUUUAUGAAAGACGAACUUCUGCGAAAGCAUUUGUCAAGGAUGUUUUCAUUAA